GGAGCGAUAGCUCAACUGGGAGAGCACCGGCCUGAAACGCCGGCGGUCCAGGUUCGAGUCCUGGUCGCUCCA
rfam:Halorientalis sp. IM1011, complete genome.